UGGUCUUACAAUUGCUUCUUAGCAAAGAGUAAUGUCAGCGACAGGUUUGCUGUAACGUUCGGAAACAGAACAUGCCCAAAGUGUGGGUUCAGAACAGCAUCUGCACCCUGGACAGACUGGAGACCUGAACGCCCACCAGAGAAGGUGCUCAGCUUGUGCACAGAGGUGAGGAGCUCGGGAGGAGUUGAGCUGGGGAAAGCACCUCUUCCUCUGAGAUCAGCUAUUAUGCAGUCCGAGGGCUCUGUGAUCCAAUUCUCCCUCCUGAGAGUCUUGUUCCAGUGCAGCCGAGAUGUGUGGUAUGUGCAGCAAUUCUCUCUGAAGAACUACUGACCAUCAAAGAAACUUCUGGAAACAAAUGACAUUCAUUCAGAUCUCUCCAGUGGGAAGCCCUGAUGCUAUCAGCUGAUAUUAGAGCACAGGUUGGGAGCAGAAAUGAUGACUUCCCAAGUGGUGUCCACUGAACCCACUGAGAUGGAGAGGUGGAGCUUCAGGAUACUCAUAUUGUUGCCAUCAUCUCCACUGAUACCAUGAAGGAGGAGGGAAUCUCUUUACCAGCUGAGUUCUCGUCAAGAUGGCGCUGUGAGCAGACGUUGAACUCACCUCCUCCCACGAACACAACCAGGUUACAACAAUUUUGGGAAGAAUCACCCUGGAUUGAAAACUGAAAACUGGAUUAAAAGAACCCCCACGACAAAGGACAGUCGUGACGAAAGCAGAAGAGGCAGAAACUCCCGCUGGAGAGGAAAAAAAGCCACCUUUGGGAGCAGCGGAGCUUCUCAGCUGGCCAGGCGGGAGCCAACAUAAGAAUGACAAGAUUCUGUCAGAGCUGGAACGUUUUUUAAGGUGAUCUUCACUCUCAGAUUCUUCUGUAGCAACCCCCGGUUUCCUGUUGGAUUUCUCUGUCUUAUGUGGGGGAAGAAAGACCAUAAAAUGCUCUCUGAAUCCAUAAGGACAACCCCAUUGGCACAGAUGGGAAUUUUACUCUGAAGUGACAGCACUGCUUUCCUGAAACAUGACCUAACGACUACAAAGAGUUUCUUUGGAAGCACCAAAUUUUGUCAUUGACCCCUCUUUACCAUAUCACGCUCUCCUGAACCACUCCAUAGCAAUGUUCCUGGGAAGUUAAAGAUGGCUCAGAAGAAAAACUGUCAUCUUUAACAAAGAAAGAACUGUGUCAUGGCAUCUUGUUACAAUGUUUCAGUUAUUUUGAAAAGCUUUGAUUUGUUGGAGGAAAGGCAAGAAAGUCUAUAAGGCCCCUCCAGCAAAGACACAAUGCAGAUAAGAUCCACCAUCAGAGCAGGUCUGAAGAAGCAACAGAGACCAAAUAUUCAUCUGUAGGCAGCACAUACGAAUGCUCGGGUGCAAACAGCCCGAUGCUAUUUAAAUGGAUGGAUUCUCAUGUGAAUUUACCAUUCACUCUCCUCUAGGGAUGUGAGGACAACGGGAGCAGAUUUAGUUAUCUAUCUUUACUUGCCUCCUUAGAGCCCACAGAAGAAAAUGAAAAUGCUUCAAUAAAAUAAGUGAUGCAAGAAAGA
rnacentral:lncRNA from 1 species